rnacentral:rRNA from 1 species
CCUACGGGGCGCACCAGUGGGGAAUUUUGGACAAUGGGCGCAAGCCUGAUCCAGCAAUGCCGCGUGAGUGAAGAAGGCCUUCGGGUUGUAAAGCUCUUUUGUCAGGGAAGAAACGGCUGUGGCUAAUAUCCAUGGCUAAUGACGGUACCUGAAGGAUAAGCACCGGCUAACUACGUGCCAGCAGCCGCGGUAAUACGUAGGGUGCAAGCGUUAAUCGGAAUUACUGGGCGUAAAGCGUGCGCAGGCGGUUUUGUAAGUCUGACGUGAAAACCCCGGGCUCAACCUGGGAAUUGCGUUGGAGACUGCAAGGCUGGAGUCUGGCAGAGGGGGUAGAAUUCCACGUGUAGCAGUGAAAUGCGUAGAGAUGUGGAGGAACACCGAUGGCGAAGGCAGCCCCCUGGGUCAAGACUGACGCUCGUGCACGAAAGCGUGGGGAGCAAACAGGAUUAGAUACCCGUGUAGUC